rnacentral:rRNA from 1 species
UGGUGGGGUGACUUGUCUGCUUAAUUGCGAUAACGAACGAGACCUUAACCUGCUAAAUAGCCCGCAUUGUUCCGGCAGUGCGCUGGCUUCUUAGAGGGACUUUCGGCUCAAGCCGAAGGAAGUUUGAGGCAAUAACA